UAUAAGUGGAUCCAUGCGGAGUUCGCGUUUAGUUUUAUUUAAAACAUGGAGUGGAGUAGAACAAGCGUAGUAAUCAUUUUCAUACUUAUUUUAAGGGCGUCACUUGUAUCAACUCGUCCCGCCAGCAAUAACAACAGUGACCAAUUAUUUAAACAAAUGGAACCCACCAUACGUAAGUCCGUGGCGAUGCUUGACACUGCGGUAACUGGUAACAAGGAUGCGCAAGCCAUUUUAUCCAAAUUGAUACAAGCAAGUAAUAGCAUGGCGGAUGCUGCGAAUUUAGCCAUGCGUAAGAUACAAUGAACAUAGCUUGUAUAUCUACGCAUGCAGGUGCAUAUAAAUUGAUUGUAGUAAUAAAAAGCCCAAAUAUAAA